GGGGUCACUCUGCUUCCACUCCAGCGCCAUCGGGGCGGAUCCAUGAUCCCUGUCCAGGCACAUCACGCAGAAAAAUGAACCAACAUACUUCCUGCACAAGUUCGCUCUGUGAGAACAGCAGCUUGCUGUGCUUUGUCAUUUCCUCACUUUUAGACACUGAUCAGACAGUCACCUUCACAAAACUAUCAGGAAAGAGUAAACCAUCUACAAUCAAGAAAAUCAAAGUGCCUGGGUGGGUGAACACGUGGGGGUUCAUGGCAAAGUCUCCACUGCUGCAUUCACUGAUGCUCCCAUGGCUUCUUCCUUUUUUUAUUCAGGACAAGACAAAUUGUCUAGCCACAAGAAUUUAAACAAUGCUUUUAAUCUGAGUGAAGAAAUGUACUGCACUGCUUGGCUGCCUUUAAAGUCUACUAUUGCGAUAAGUCAGCAAAAGGUGUAUUUGUAGAAGGGAGAGCUGUAGCUUAAUGCAGCCGCACCAUAAAGUUAUUUAUCCCUGCUGUGCUUGAUUUACAAUUCUCAAUAACUUCCUUGACAUUUUUUUUUUCUGCUAAGAAACCUUGAGGUGGUGCCUGCAGAGGUGGAAGCAGGGGGUGAUUCACUGCUGCUCACCCCUGGUGCUGCCCUUGCCUCUCAGCCAGACAAGCUGGUCGAUGAUUCAUUUUAAUUCUUCUGUAAAUAACCCGAGUUUUAAGAAAAGAGAAAUUUCACUGCAUCCUUUCAUCUGAAAUGCACUGAAUUUUUGUUGAAUGGAA